rnacentral:ncRNA from 1 species
UUUUAAAAAACGGGGUGUCUUUGCAGCAUGCAAAGGCUGAGAUCAUACCCAUUGAACCUGUACGGAUCAUGCCGGCGUAGGGAUUGUUUAUGUUACUGGA